GAUUGGAACCCAACGCCUUGUACCCGAAUAUAAUAAAGGUGACGACCAGCAGCAGUUCUCUUCAUGUAGUAGGGAUUUUGCUUUCAUCUUUCACGUUAAUGGAAAGGUGAUUAUUAUCAAUAUCUUACUAAGUUCAAAACAGAUCGAGAAAGAAAGGAGAUAGUUGACCAGUCAUUGAAGAGAUAUGAGGCAUGUUUAUUUCUACAACUUUCAUUUACAUAAACUAAUUGAUUUGAUUUUUACUCGUCAACUAUAUUGCUUGAUGUGUCCUUUGCCGAAUUCAUGAUAGACUGCUUCAAGCAUUGCAAAUGUAAAACUACCAUCAACUCAUGUAAUCCAUCUUGGCCAUGCUUCCCACUUUUUUGUCUUAAACUAUGAGAUUAUGAAUUCUCCAUAAAGGUAAAAGUAGUUUUUUCUUGAAUUAAUUCUGUAUCAAUGACUAGGACUUGCCACUUGGCUAAGGCUAGUAUAGAUCUAGUUUUUGUGCUUAUUGAAAACGCAUGGUGUACCUUACAUCAGAAAUGAUAGACACCUAAGAAUGCCAUACUUUUUUGUACCAACAACACCUCCUUUGUAGUUUUACAUAUCAACUACCCAGUAACGUGGCCUAUUUACCCAUAUCCUCAGCUUUAUAUUUAUCAAAUGUAGGAAUUAUGCUCCCUUUUAGAUGAAAUAUGUUAAUUUCAUGCUCAAAUAAUGCAUAGACGUACUCUGGAAUACUUUUAUGUAAGUGAAUAGAACUACAAAGGUGAAAAAUAUAAACAAGUCGCACUAGCCCCUGAGGUAAAAUGAGAUAGCCACCUCACCUCGAAGUUUUAUGGAAUUAGUCUUCCAACUAUAUUAGAGUCAAUUAACUUCGUCGCUAGGUUGGUGAACAUUUUGAUUUGUUUACAAAUUGUUGAAGUAUGAAUUCUCAAGUCUUAACAUUUUGAUUUGUCAUGCAUAUAGUAUAAAAUCUAGUUGGAUAAUUGUCUGGUUUAAAGUUUAGUUGGAUAAUUGUGUGGCUAUCCUGUAGCAAAGA